rnacentral:lncRNA from 1 species
GAGAGAUUUGGUCUGAAUUCUUGUAUUCUCUGAUUGUGAGGUUUGUUCAGUCACCUCUUGGGACCUGCUGUGCCCUGAUUAUGAAGUGAUACUCGCUUGUCAGCACCAAGAAAUGGAAGAGGGAAGUAUUGCCCCCUCUUCAACUUCCCAGAAAACGAAACAAUAUUCAUAACUGUACUUCCAAGAACCAUCAAGAGUAUCUGAAUUCGUUACUUACACAGCAAGAAAACGGAUGAAUAGCAUGUGCUCUGAAACUAGACUGCUUGGGUCCCAAUCGGAGCUAUGCUACUCCAACAGCUGUGUGACCAGGGGCAAAUUUCUUAACUUCUCAUCUGUAAAAGGGAGAAAGGAGUAGAACCUUCUUCACAGGGAUUUUGCGAAGAUUCAAUGAAUUAAUAUUCUCUGAGGCCAUUUGAACAGUGUCAUAUGAGACACUGUGGCCUCCAGGCAGCCAGGAGUGAUGUAUACUCUAUAGUCUGAGACUUCCUCCACCAGAGGGCCUUAUGCUCUGCACGGCUUCUCCUUAUACACAUGACGAUGUCCUUUGCUGGCCCUGGUGUGUGAGCGUGAACCUCCAGGGGCCUUGGGGAAAAUGAAGUUGUUUCCCCUCCCUCCUCCCACGUCAAAUAUUACAGACAGGCUCACUCAGCUCCACUCCAGCUCCCUUGUAAAAUGCCUUACCAAACGCUUCAGAGAAAAAAAGAAAGACUGCCUAUUUCCUAGACUCUUUGAUGGCUGGAGUUCGGAGUCUAUCAAGGAAACACACCUGGGGAUUUGGAAGGCAAGAAUAAGGUGGAGGCCAUGCUUAUGCUGUUUUCUGUCAUUUCUGCUGGCAUGUGUGCACGUAGAGAUGGUUUGCGUUCUUCUGUGACAGCAGUGGCAGGAGUCCCAGUGUCUGGCUCUCAGCUUUGUGG